GACGGAGGAUGCAAGCGUUAUCCGGAAUGAUUGGGCGUAAAGCGUCCGCAGGUGGCAGUUCAAGUCUGCUGUCAAAGACCGGGGCUUAACUUCGGAAAGGCAGUGGAAACUGAACAGCUAGAGUAUGGUAGGGGCAGAGGGAAUUCCUGGUGUAGCGGUGAAAUGCGUAGAGAUCAGGAAGAACAUCGGUGGCGAAGGCGCUCUGCUGGACCAUAACUGACACUCAGGACGAA
rnacentral:rRNA from 1 species